AUCGUUGAAGAUCAUUUCUUUUCGGCUAUUUGAUUUUGGUGGAAACGGAGAUUGAAGUUGGACAACCGUAAAAAGCCAAUAAGGUACCGAAGUUUGAUUUGCUGAUCCGCCGGUUUAGGACAUCUGCUGUGUUAUUGACAGUGCUCCCUUGUUCGGAGCUUGUAUUUUGGUACUAACUUUAUCUCUGUAUAUUUGGAUAUGUUGGUCAGGGGUAUGACGGGGCCCUGUCCCAUCUUGUGACUAUGCUAUCAUCUGUAGAGGUCUGUAGACAGAGUUAUGUUGUGGGUU